GAGAGGUGGCAGAGUGGUCGAUCGCGGCGGUCUUGAAAACCGUUGACCUUCAUGGGUCCGGGGGUUCGAAUCCCUCCCUCUCC
rnacentral:tRNA from 1 species